CCUACGGGAGGCAGCAGUUAGGGAAUCUUCCACAAUGGGGCGCAAGCCUGAUGGAGCAACGCCGCGUGAGUGAAGCCGGCCUUCGGGUUGUAAAGCUCUGUCUGUCGGGACGAAGACCGGCCCGGAAGGGCCGGGGAGCCGGCACCGACGGAGGAAGCCCCUGCAAACUACGUGCCAGCAGCCGCGGUAAGACGUAGGGGGCAAGCGUUGUCCGGAAUUACUGGGCGUAAAGGGCGUGUAGGCGGUGCGAUACGUAGCGGUUUUAAGCCUCCGGCUCACCCGGAGGAGGGCGGCUAAACGGUCGCGCUAGAGGGCAGGAGAGGUGCGUGGAAUUCCUGGUGGAGCGGUGAAAUGCGUAGAGAUCAGGAAGAACACCCGUGGCGAAGGCGGCGCACUGGCCUGGCCCUGACGCUGAGGCGCGACAGCGUGGGGAGCGAACGGGAUUAGAUACCCCGGUAGUCCACGCCGUAAACGAUGGGUACUAGGUGUCGCCCGGGUCCACCGGGCGGUGCCGGAGCUAACGCACUAAGUACCCCGCCUGGGGAGUACGGCCGCAAGGUUGAAACUCAAAGGAAUUGACGGGG
rnacentral:rRNA from 1 species